GGGGAAUAUUGCACAAUGGGCGAAAGCCUGAUGCAGCAACGCCGCGUGAGUGAUGAAGGCCUUCGGGUUGUAAAGCUCUGUCUUCAGGGACGAUAAUGACGGUACCUGAGGAGGAAGCCACGGCUAACUACGUGCCAGCAGCCGCGGUAAUACGUAGGUGGCAAGCGUUGUCCGGAUUUACUGGGCGUAAAGGAUGCGUAGGCGGAUUUUUAAGUGGGAUGUGAAAUACCCGAGCUCAACUUGGGUGCUGCAUUCCAAACUGGAAGUCUAGAGUGCGGGAGAGGAGAGUGGAAUUCCUAGUGUAGCGGUGAAAUGCGUAGAGAUUAGGAAGAACACCAGUGGCGAAGGCGACUCUCUGGACCGUAACUGACGCUGAGGCAUGAAAGCGUGGGGAGCAAAC
rnacentral:rRNA from 1 species